ensembl:snRNA U7 U7 small nuclear RNA
GAGCAUUAUAGCUCUUUUCAAAUUUGUCUAGUAGGUUUUCCAGUUUUUACCAGAGAACCGUU